UCUGCCUUUUCCUCUGCUCUCCCAGCCUGCGUGAUUUCACUUGAAACUUAAGGAGUGCGGAAGUGUCGGGAGAUGCGUCUAACCGGAGCCCGGCCCGCUGCUCCUCCGGGUGAUGUGGGCUCUCCUUCGGCGGGCGGACCUGGAGCUGGACGCAACUGGUUUAGCAAAAAAGACAAAGAAACUAAUAUAUGUAGAAGGUACUAAAUAUAGUAAAACUCAGAUGUAAUGUAGAGCUACAGACUAGUGAAGAAAAAGCAAGAUGUAGAAUUGUGUUAGCAAGCAUACAAAAACAACUCCAAGUGAACCCUACAGCGAUGAAGAAGAAACUGUCAACAGAAGCCUGGCAUUCUUCCUGGUGAGGGAGUCCAGAUGCUGAUGACUCACCAUAACCCCACCACCCUCACCUGAGUGAGACCAUGACCUUGGGGCCCAGGCAAAAAGGGGAGAGAGGUAAACACAAAACCAGGAGAAUGGGAAAAACUAAGAAGUGUGUGUGUAGCAAUUAAUCAUUUAUAUAAUAAAGAAUAAAACUUAAUAAUGGUGAUUUAGCAUAAACUUUCUGUAAUAAUUAAUAGUUCUUGAAUGACACUGUUAGAGUUUCAAUUAUGUUAAUAGAUUUUUCACUUUAUAAAUAAGGUGUGUUUCAGCUUUGUCAUAAAUAAUUUUUUGAGCGUACACAAGCUUGCUGUACAGACAAUGAAUUUCUGUCUGAAGAAUACACAUUUCCUAGGAAACUUAGAGUUUUGGAACAACCCAUGCUAUGUAUAAGUGCUCAGCCAUCUGGGAGGAAUAAUUCAUUAGGCUUUUUACUAAAGGUAGGAGUGACACCACAAAAAUGAUAGUGUUAUAUCCCUCUUUGCAAUAAAACACUAUUUAAAUCCAAA